rnacentral:rRNA from 1 species
AACGAACGCUGGCGGCGUGCCUAACACAUGCAAGUCGAACGAGAAAGGGGCUUCGGCUCCGAGUAAAGUGGCGCACGGGUGAGUAACACGUGGGUAACCUGCCUCUAAGAUUGGGAUAACUCGUCGAAAGAUGAGCUAAUACCGAAUAAGACCACAGUUCCUGCAGGAACAGGGGUCAAAGGUAGCCUCUGCUUGCAAGCUAUCACUUAGAGAUGGGCCUGCGCACCAUUAGCUAGUUGGUAGGGUAACGGCCUACCAAAGCAAAGAUGGUUAGCUGGUCUGAGGGGAUGAUCAGCCACACUGGAACUGAGACACGGUCCAGACUCCUACGGGAGGCAGCAGUGGGGAAUAUUGCGCAAUGGGCGAAAGCUUGACGCAGCAACGCCGCGUGAGUGAUGAAGGCCUUCGGGUCGUAAAGCUCUGUCGGGAGGAACGAAUGCUUCUGAGGUUAACAGCCUCGGGAGGUGACGGUACCUUCAAAGGAAGCACCGGCUAACUCUGUGCCAGCCGCCGCGGUAAAAC